CUCCUCCCAUUUGCGUGGAGCAGUAUCGAAGUGCAAAUGUCCUGAGUGGAUGAUAGAAUUACACCCAAGGUAUUCAUUAAAGAAGGUUCUGUAGAAGAAGAGUCACAUUAAAACUUCGCUCAAAUAAUCCCUGGAGGGGAUUACUGGAGGAACACCUGCUCAAAUGCUGUUCAACCAGCAAAAUGGUGAUCAUGUCCACUAGACAAUUAAUUUGACAACUUUUUCAAUAAUUUAUCUAGUGCGGGUGGUACUUCAUCGCUUGGCAGUGGAAAAUCACACCUCAGCCUAUUGCCUCAUCAAACCUGAAUCUGUGAGAAAGCCCUUAUACAGUACCCAACCCAAAAAAGGAACAAAGGAAACACAUCUGCAGCAGAGCUGUGGUGAUGGAGAGAGGACUAAUACGACCUACACAGGUUGCAAGGACAUUCGGAGAUCCUGAAGGACAAUCCAGAUAUUAAGAGGUGUUUCUGGGGCCACAAGGCAAAGUUGGGUGCAACUGACAACCAGGCUGAAGAGACCUAUCGAGCAAUGCAAUAUAGUUCAUCAUGGUCUGAACACUAGGAAAGAAGACAUCUGGCUAGUUGGUGAAGAUUCAUAGUGGUGAGAGAUCCACCAUCAGACAUCUGUCAGAUUUUGAAUUUCUGUGCUUAAAAUGCACCCAACCUGAAAGUGGGGUCUAUUAGUGAGAACUAUUACAUACACUUUUGUAACUGUCCCCUGUCCCAUUCUACUGCAAUUUUUUUUCUGCUCUGUUUCCAUGGAAAUGGGAGUGAGAGGAUCAGACAUAUGAUAGAAGCAAUUGUUUUAAAGGUCCUUGAAAGGCUUUGCUAUUCCCUGACCUAAUUUUUUUCUGAGAAUGGAAGUGAGAAUGAAAGCUAGACACUUUUUGUUAUCUUUGGUGGUAUUUGAUUUGGGUCUAUAAUCCCAGAAAGUCAGGAAAUGCCAUUUUCCUUCCUUUUGCCCCUGGAAGAAGACUGUUCUUGGGGGAAAGUGACAUAAUGGGCAGCCCUGGGGUCUACUCCUGAACACAUUAGCACGGUCCUCUCAUGUCACAUGCCAUGUGAUAUGGCUAUGCAGUGCCUAAAAGGCCCAGCCUGAAACAAAGGCUCUACAUACCUGGCAAUGGAGCUUCAAAUCUAAAAAGUGUAUUUUUCCAGUAUGAAGUGGGAGGACUAUUUUCCUUGGGGAUGUUUUGAGGAUAACUACAGUUGUGUUUGGAAAGUACUUUCAGAUCCGCUACUUGAAACUGCUCUAGAUAGACAGUAUUUGCCUUGUUGCUACUACUAAGCAGAGGUAAGAUAAAAGUAUUAGACUGCUCUCUUUUGAUGAUUUUCUCCCAUUUUAUUGUCAUGCUGCUAGCUUCCAUUUCCAUGGAAACAGAGCAGAGAGGCCAUUUGUAGCAAUAUGCAAGCUAUGGUUGGGAAUGACACACGUAGAUUUUAGCUGCUGGAUGUCGACCAAUAGCUACAAAAAUGAAGGCACAGUACAAGACAAAUGACAACAGGGAAAGGGAUGGACAAAGGAAAGGAAACCCAAAGAUAUCAAAGCUGAUGAAGACUCCUUCCUCGUAAAGGUUAUGGACAUUGUGUGUCUUCCCUCUUUGUUAUUACCUUCAGUUUCCAGGGCUAUACUUAGACUUGGCCUCCUUGCUAUUAUUUCUGUUAUCAUUAGGUGAUAUUUUGUUGCCAUGGUGCCUGAAGGCCCCAGAAAAUCUGAGUCCCUCCUGUGCUAGAACCAUGCAAACUUGGAGCAAGAGAUAAUUCCAUAGUGGGAAGGAGAAAAAAGUGCUGGAAAGGUAAAAUGAUCUGGCUGUCGUCACACAUACAGGCCAGCGACAGAGCCGAAGGUGCUCUCUUAUCUGGAGCUUGUUGCAGAGCUUCUCCCAGUUUGCUCACUGCUUGCGGUGCCAGGGCUGAGGGAGACGUCUUUGCCACCUCUUCCUCCAGUGCUUUCUGUGCUCCUUCUGAACCUGAGAUUUCCUUCCAGAUACUGCCUCUCCUGCCUGCAUAUUAAUUUUGAGUUGCUCUUCUGAACACCAUGCCUACAGCAGCCUACAGACCACUUCUUCACUAGCUCUUUUACCUAUACUACUGUGUUCCUCCACACAGCACUGCUCAGACUUCUCUGUCAAAGCCAGUGUGAAAGAGCCAUCUUUCCCUCUCCCCAGUGCAUACUAAACCUCACCUGUCUGCCCGAGCCACCUAUAGUCCUUCAGAGACAAGAUUUUCCUGUGAAUUUAUUUUUUCUUGGAAGCUGCUGGUCAAACUGUUCCUUCUCUUGAAAGUAGUGAGGCGUUGUAAUAGCAGGGCAAUUCUCUGAUCUCCAACUCACAGUUAUGGAUUUCACCUUUGAAUUGCUCAGCCUGAUAACACUCCACCUUUCCACUGAAUCCUGAAAUCAGUCAUCCUCUUUGCUAUCAGAGAGGUUGUCUGGGUUUUCUUCUUUGCUAUCAAGUAUCCUAAUUAGGGGCCAUAAGUCUCCUAAGGACACCACUAUUUCUGAGUGGAAAUUUAUGGUGGAAUUAUUACAUUUCAAUUACUUCAUUUUAAAUGAGGUCUGUCUAAAAUUUAUGAUAUCAAACAAACUUUUAUUGUUCACAAGGCAACAGGAUCAUAACCUUAUUGGAAAAUACUGAUAAGUGAGGAAGGUAUUUGACACUGGUUGCACUGGGUCACUAAGAUAUACAACCUGUAACUCACCUGCAUUGCAGGAAGCACAGUGCUGUUGCAGGGAGAGGGGACACAGGAUGAACAACCCAAAGGCAAGUCUCCUAAGGCAGAACCAAACUUAUCUUUCUGAUGAUGUGGGAAAGGACUAUAUGUGGGUCAAACAGAAGGAAGGACUUGUGCUUUGGAGAUUUCAGUAUAUAUGCUAAAGUCUUGAUCAGGCCGAAGAGAUAUGAGCUAUGAAUUAUUCUACUACCACAGCUGACUACAGCCUCUGCUCCAAAAGCACGGGAAUAGCAGGACAAGGGGCAUUACUGUGAAGGCCACUUUUCUUGUGAAAGUUGCAUUAAAGUCUGUGUUUUUGGAGGAACUGCAAUCAGUGUGCUCGUUUAGCAUUUCUGUUUGAAUACUCUCCAAGCUAAGUAAGAUCCAAAUAAUGUGUGUAUGUGUCCCUGCCCUUGUUUCUUCAUUGAAAUUCAUUGUACUUUCAGGGUCUAUGUAUGACCCUUUUCAGCCUAAGAAUGAGAAGACUGAAGCGCCCUAAGUAUACAGCCCAACCCAAAAGCUUAUUGUUCUGUAACUGCUUGAACAGGUAAGUAUCCAGUCUUUCUCUGGGUGUCAAGGAAGGUUUAGUUUUCAUAAUAUUGGGGCAGAUGGCAUAAAAGCUCCUAAAAGCAGGUAAGCUAAGAACCUCACGCAUCAGUGUGUCACAUUAAAGAAUUAAUUUGGUUUAUCACAAAACAAUUCUAGUAGGUUAGAUUUUUUCUUUUUUGUGUGCAUGUGUGUUUGUGUAUUUUAUUUAUUUAGUGCACCAGGGCUCCUUUAAUCAUUUGAUCUUCUUUAUAUACUUUCCAAUAAGAAGAGAAGCUCAGAGACUUUUAGGACAUUUUAUACUACAGGGAGAAUAAAUAAAGGGCUGUGAAUUCAUUUUAUGAUACAGCACUAUUCUCUUCAUACCUUGAAACUCAACAGAGCAACAGCUCUUUUCUCUCUGUUAGCCUCUUCUUCCAUCUUCAGCCUACCAUAAAUCCCUUCAUUGCUUCACAGCUGAAGUGUACCCUGCUGGAAUGUUGUCUCCACCCUGGAGCACCUAAAAGCUGAUAAGGAAUUACAGCUAAGUACCAACAAGAAGUGUUAUCACUGGAGUACAAGCUGUCCCAAAAUCAUUCCUGCAGAAAAAAACUCAGGUUUAAACAUGAAAAAGGAAAAUAAAACAGAAGGCAUGGAAAACAUUAUUAGAUUCAGACAUCCUCCAAAUGUUCCCCACAUCCCCAAAUGGAUGUGUCAACAGCAGGGAGAUGUCUCAGUUCUGCCUUUGCAGCAGCUAAAUUCCUUCCCACACCCCAGGCGGACCAACCUCUACAUCCACUUGUCAGCCCUCAGUGCUUCCCAGUCCCUCCAGAAAUCAGGUUUGCACAACGUCAGGGACUCCCAGACAUGUGUCAGGCAUCCCUGGCACUGCAGAAGCCCUUUCCAUGUGGGAGCAACCAUACCAAAAGCACAUCAGAGGAUAUGUUUCCCCUUCUUCCAGAUUUCAGCACAUUAACAGAGCCAGGCAUCAGGGAAGUGCUGAGAGAAAUCAGAGUCACCACAUGUAAGUCAAACCCAUUCCAGCCAUAGCUGACGGAAAAUACCUACGAGCACCAUUACUGACAGAGACUGUCAACACUGCCAUGAAGAGUGUCUCACUGGUUCUCCUAAACCAGACCUUGUCAUGUACUGGGAACACUUUUUGGAUCUGACUGAUCCUGCAUAUUAUGCUUGGCUCCAAAGCACUUCUGAGUAACAGGAUUAUGAAGUAAACAGAUAAAUAUUUUCUUUUCAAUCUUUUGACCACCAGGCAAGCCCCUGAGACUAAUUCAUGAUGUUGCAACAUGUUUGGUAACACUUACAGAUUAGCAUCUACAUAUAGUCUAGAAAAAAAAUCAGUGUUUUCUCAGGAGAUUUGAUACCCAUCUUAGUUCAGAAAUUCUUUGUGUGGCUGGAGAAAAAACUUUUGAUAGAGAUUAGUUCUGAUUAGCACCAAAAUAAUGGGAAGGGAGUGAACUCUGAGCAAAGAUGAAAUUGAAUAAAAAAUACCUCAGUAACAAACCCUGUAUAAGAGCAAAUAACCUCAUGGUGUGUCUCUACAUCAAAGGAGUUUGCUCCUGCAGCAUCCAAUAGAUUACUAUUCAGCAGGGUGUCUGGUUCCUCCAGGCUGUUUUGCCUGAGCUAAAGACUGGGCAUUAACUGAGCAUUAGAUUCAGCAGAAGAGCUGUGAGCACUGAGUGCUUCACUUCUAAUAGCAACCCCAAAUGCAUUUAACACCCAGCAUCUGGAAGCAGGCAAACAGAAACUAUCCUAGGGUAGCAUACAAGAGACUUUUAUUCCACUUCUUCACUGUCUCACCAUGUAGUGGAUGUGCCACAGGGUGGCGAAGCAAAAGGUUCAUGGAAAUGUAGAUGACUUAAUCAUUUUGUGUAUGCCUAAUGUAGAUGACUUCAUCCUGCAAAAUAACUGAAGCCAGCAGAAAAUUUUAGCUAGAAGAAGAGGCUCCUGAAUACAGUCAUUACAAGACAAAUGACAUUUGACAGAUAAGUUAUUUAUUUUGUGCUUCCUUAAAAAUCUUUUCCCUUAUAGUCCCCAGACUUUCCAUGGAAGAACCUAGUGGCAAGCAGAAGUAGUAAGAGGAAAGAAAACCCUUCCAUCAGGAAUGUUUUACUUUCUUGGAGUUAUUUUCCACCAAUUGUUCCUAGAGUACAAAGAUACAGUAUUGCAUUCUUUCUACUAGCUUGGGACCUUGGCUAAGUCUCUUUCUUUUAGACCACAGAAAUCACCAGGGCUCACAUGUACAUGCGUGAAUAAAAGGCAUUAUUUGCAAUCAAGCCAUGUCCAAAUAUUUUCCUCCUUAGCACACUCAAUGAGAAACGAAAGCAAAACACGAAGAAGAGAGUGUGCCCCAGAAACUGAAAAGACAUUGCUGUUAAUUCACAUGCCAGUGGAUCCUCAGACUACAGCCUCUCACAGCCAGAUCAGUUGUGAUGGCUCUUAUUAUGGCCUCUUCUGCAUAGUGAAUCUAACCUCUGAGGAGCUUAUACACCCUGGAAAUGAACAUCACCUCUUUGUGGCAGAAGGAGGGGAAACGGUGAUCCUCUUGUCAUCUUCUCAUUCCUUGCCUGCUUCUGAUCUGAAUAGAUAAAUGUGUAGACAGAUUUGCACAGUACCCAGAGAGAGGUCAGGCACAGUUUAUUGCAUAGAGCCAGAAAGAGCUGCUUGCAGCUCCCCAGAUUGUAGGGUGGCUCCAUGAUCUGCUCCCACCGAGUACAAGAUAACUGUCCUAAUUUUUUUCUCUAGGAGGCCUAGGGAGCUCCUAUGAAUUUCAAAGACCUGAAACUCUCUCUCUCUCCAAAAUAACAGAGAAGAGGAAGAUAAACGAUAAUGGGAAAGAAAGAGAAACCCCAAAGACUAAAUAAAAGGCAAAUGGCCAGCUUACAAAGCCCAAAGCUACCUUUCUUUGCUGUGAAAAUCAGGUGUCUAUCACGACCCAGUUACACAGACAUUAGCAUAGUUCUGGCCAGCUCAUCCAAUGAAAACACCCAUGUCCCUGAAGUAUCCCACAUCUCCUCUCUCUCUCUCCAGAAAGUGCUGCGGUUCCCUGGUACUGUCCCAUAUGCCAAUACCUCCCUGAAGGCCAAACUGCCUCUGUCACACCUCCUUAGCCACUUUGUCCCAGCAUGCUUACCCCUAAUGCUUACAGUGCAGCUGGCAACGGAAUGAGAAAAAAAGUUGGAUCCUCUUCAGGAUUUUGAAUCAUUCCAGCUUUCCAUCAGACACACAUCUCUCAUAAUUUUUUUUUAAUUGAAUGAAUUAUCUGAAAUGUUUCCUACAGUAGAUUUCCAAGUUUAAAUAUUUUAAAAUUUACUAAACUUGUUUCUAUUUGAAGAACUGCAUCCUUGCAUUAUUAAAAUCUUCCUAUUUCUCUACUAAUUUCUCUUUAUUUUCUCAUUCAGGUCAUGGAUUUGGGAUUGUUUUCUUUACUUCUCUGAACAUUCUUUGUUUUAAAUCUGACUCAAAUUUAGAACUUAGGGAAAGAAACAUGAUUAUGAUAUGUGUUUCAUAUUCUGUGCAGCCCUUCUCAAAGUUUAUGAAAGAACUUGGUUAGUCAAAUCUUGGUAUUUGUCAGGAGUUAGCACACUAUUGAUCUGACUUAUGGCAGGUUCUGGAAGCUCAUUUAUAGGGAGGAAGAUUUGACCACUGUAUUUAUUCUCUAAGACCCCUCAUGAAAAGCUUUUAUCUGAAACAGUAAA